GAUGAUUGUGGCCUGGAUAUGACUCAGCCAGGCUCUCUGCAGAUACAACCAGCCGGGCCUACCGAAGGCGAGUCGAGUCCUGGCGGCCCAUGGACGAAAUUUCACAAACACCCACCCACGGCGCUCCGCCAUUCGCGUUCCGGCUGCUCGCGCUUUAGCCGCCCCAGGCCAGGCCAGGCUUCCACGCGCGUCACUCUCAUGGCUGCCGGCCGGCGCCGUGCACUCUCCUUUUCGUCUGCGACUCGGUGGCGGAUUGCUCGCCGGCCGAGCGGCGCAUAGCUCGUAUCGCCUCAAAUUAAAGCACAAGGAUCGGCGCCUCCCGUUGCGUCCGUGGGUUGCGGCCGUGGCUACUGACCAGAGUACUACAGCCUACAGGCCCGCCCGCGCUUUCUCCGAUCGAUCGGCGUGGAAGUCGGUCAUGCCGCGGGGACCAUUCGCCUCGCUGAGGCCGUCGUCCGGCAGCCUGGUCCAGCGGUGCUGGCGCCUGGGCGGCGCGGCCGUGUGCUGCGCGCCGGCGCACCUCUGCGCCGAGGCAGCGCGGUGGGUCUCCGCCGCGGCCGCCGCGAACAACCAUACGCAGAUCUCUCCUUGUGCCUCUGUUUGCUCUACAAGCGCCUUCCAGCACCGUCUCAUGGAUCAAGGGUGAUUACGGCCGGUGGAUUGCCUUUGUUGGUAUUCUCCUGCGUUUGUUUUACUCCCUUCCUGGUGAACUGGAGCUUCCUUUGUCAACAAUUCUGCUUGUUGUGACCGCUUCUUACCAAAUUAUGGACUUGAGGUACGGAAUCAAGCUGCCUGUUGCUCAUUCUGGUAUUAUGCCAUCUCUGUUUCAUGCCAUCUCUUCUUCACUGGUUAACCAUCUGGCUAUGUAAAGGAUAAACAAUAGGCCCAUAGCGCUCAGCCGCUCACACUUACCAGAGUAAUCCAGCAGGACUGCUUCCUUAAUGUGUAA